CGCGCGUCAUCACGACACGUCACGGCUACCCUUCAAACUUUACCGCCAAAAUCGGAGUUCGACUCGCCAUUGUUCAAAAAUUCAUAUUUUUGUUAAAUUUCGAAUUGUGAUAUCUGGCUUUUGAUCUUCAUAGAGAUGUAAUUUUUUUUUUUCGGAAAAAGUUGCGAAUAUUUUUGUGAAGUUUUCGAAUUGGCGGGUGUCGGGUUGAUGUGUGCGAGCGAGAGGUGUGAUAUGGAAAGCCCGGGUGAGGAAACGGGACGAGUAGUGCCCCCCGCGCCGCACACCCCCGCCGCCCCGCAGCCGAACGGCUCCAAUAAGAUCAUCGGACGAAAUGUGAAUGGAACCAUGGUGGUGACAUCAGCUCCGGCCAACGAAGCAGAGUUGCAGUUGUACCGCGUGAUGCAGCGCGCCAGUCUACUGGCCUAUUACGACACGCUGCUUGAGAUGGGUGGAGACGACGUACAGCAACUCUGCGACGCUGGCGAGGAAGAAUUCCUUGAAAUCAUGGCGUUAGUAGGCAUGGCUUCCAAGCCUCUCCACGUGAGACGCCUACAAAAGGCUCUGCAAGAAUGGGUGAACAACCCAGCCCUCUUCCAAAUCCCCAUCGUUCCUAACUUAUGUCCUUCAGAAAACCCCUUUAUACAAUGUAACCAAAGACUCCUAAAUAUGCCUCCGUCGAUUCCUAACGUUUUGCCAAGAACUGUGGCGUCUCCAGAAAGCAGUAGACCAAUGUACAGCCCAUCUCCAGGUGCUCCUGAGAACAGUUGUGGUUCAACAGCAUCAGCUCCCAAUGCCAGUCCUGUACACCAAGCGAAUACCUUCACUAAAAUAGUAUUACCACCGUCCCCUGCGCCAACAGCCCCUGUCACUUCCACAGCUUCUAGAUCCUUCUCCCCACAAAGUGCCUGUCCACCAGCUUCGGCUGGAUCCAGUCCAAGUUCAGUCACAUCACCAGUUCAGCUCACACCAGUACUCUUAGAUGUCCAUGUGCAAAAGUUGUCGGCGGCUGCGGAAAAAUUGAGCAAGCACUUGCCACAGCUGGAGCCAAAACCACAGAACACGAAGAAGAAGAUGUGUAAAGAUCUGGAGCUGGUGAUGAUGAUGCCGGAGUCAGAUCCUCGGAGGAUGGAGGAGAUCAGGAAGUACGCAGCGAUAUACGGCAGGUUUGACUGUAAGAGGAAACCUGAGAAGCCGUUAACGUUGCAUGAGGUGAUGGUAAACGAAGCAGCAGCACAGAUCUGCCGCUGCGUGCCGGCGCUGCUGACGCGGCGCGACGAGCUGUUCCCGCUCGCCAGGCAGCUCGUGCGGAGAGCUGGCCUGCACUACUCCAAGCACGGGCUGCCACCAACAGCAUCAACAGGAGAGGAGCGAGAGCGAGACGAGGACGAGACGCCUCCAAAGCGACCGCGCCAGGUCGCGCCUCCCACUGUAGACCUCACUGCAUAGCACUAACACCUUACUACAUAGCUAGGGGAUGCUAGAAACGCGGAGCCAUGUGGCUUAUGGAAUCUUAGGCUUUAAGAGAAAGAAUAACCUGCUUGUUAAGCGGUUUCUGCAUUUUUUAAAUACAAAACAACAAUUUAUGCGAUAAUUUUAGCUGAUCUAAAUGCCAAUAAGGCAGAAUUACCUGCACAGAUAGUUCCGGCUGAAUUUUCGAAAUCACAAUUUGAUAAACAUGCUCUCCAACAACGCUAACAAGACCAACAAAACGCUAUUAGGUGUUUGUUAUUUCUUUUAUUAGCAGAAAAAAAUAUUCGUUCCACCAAAAGAUUCCAUAAUUCAUAUUAAGACCUCGCAAUAACUCUAUAAUGGGGAAUUGUUACUAACUGGAAUGAUUGGUAACGGACUAAUCAUAAUAAUAUUCCAAUCAGAAUGAAUUCUGAUCAACAAAUUCAGUAAGAUUCAGGUCUAAAUUAUAUCAAUGGGCCUAUUAUACGCCCUUGGGGCACUCCCUAAAUUUAAAGUACUGAGUUAGUAAAUAUCUAAUGUUUCAGUACUUUAUCUAAUUCCUUCGGUUUCGGUGACGCAAUAAUCUAUUAUUCAUACAUAUUGCAUUUAAUUUUUAUUUGCAUUGUUAUAGUAAAAGGUAAGCAUGACUCAAUCGAAUGCCUGCGCUAAUUCUCAUUAAUUUGGUAUGCACUGUAGCACAUUUUGUUUUAGAAUGGUAAUGGCAAUACUGAUCUGGAAGGCGAGGAAGGAAAUGGUAUCAGAGCGAGUCCUGACGCGGCCAGGAGUAAUUCCAACAGCUGGUGGGGCGUGAAGGCAGAGAGUGAUGACGCCGACUCCAGGUGUUCGUACUCCAGCACCAGCACUCCACCACC
rnacentral:misc_RNA from 1 species